UGAGUUCUCCCUGACCCUUUAAGGGUCCUGAAGGAACGUUGAAGACGACGACGUUGAUAGGCCGGGUGUGUAAGCGCAGCGAUGCGUUGAGCUAACCGGUACUAAUGAACCGUGAGGCUUAACCUUACAACGCCGAAGGUGUUU
rnacentral:rRNA from 1 species